UACGGGGGGGGCAAGCGUUGUUCGGAAUUACUGGGCGUAAAGGGCGCGUAGGCGGUUCGAUAAGUCAGCUGUGAAAACCAUGGGCUUAACUCAUGGCCUGCAGUUGAGACUGUCGGGCUGGAGUGUGGGAGAGGAGAGUGGAAUUCCUGGUGUAGCGGUGAAAUGCGUAGAUAUCAGGAGGAACACCGAUGGCGAAGGCAGGUCUCUGGGCAUUAACUGACGCUGAGGAGCGAAAGCAUGGGGAGCGAACAGG
rnacentral:rRNA from 1 species